CCCAGGCCCUGCAAAGCCAGCCGGGUUUGUUACGGUAGUGGCUACAUUUAGCAGAGCUGCGCACCGGCGUCGCCAGGAGAGCGCCCUCCCCAGGCAGUCGACCGGCAGCCGCAGGUGAGCUCGCCGGCGUCGCCAGGAGAUAGAGCGCCGUCCCCACGCAGUCGACCGGCAGCCGCAGGUGAGCGCACCGGCGUCGGCAGGAGAGAGAGCACCGUCCCCACGCAGGCGACCGGCAGCCGCGCAGGUAUACG